rnacentral:rRNA from 1 species
CGGCAUCAGUUGAGAGAGUGGGGUCGCUUCCUUAGCUCCUCCGCGCCGGUCUCAGCUCGUGGCGCUUGGGAGGAAGAGGCGGCAGACGGUGCCCGGUGCCGACGGCAGCUACUGGCGCUGCGGCAGAAGGGCUCGAGACCGGCGGCACGGCAGCUGGUACCGCGACGGCGGCGACGAGGAGGCCGGAGGGGCUAGGAAGGCAGCGUGAGGACCAUCCUAGAUCUCAGCUACACUCGGUACUCAAGCUACUAGUUCUAGUUCUACCUGUUGUGGUUACUUGUUCAAGCCUUGUCUCUAGCUGUGUUAGUUUCUCAAUAAUUAGUUAUAAUCGUUCAUUCCGUUGGUAGCGGACUGGAACACUUG